AAAAAAUCACUGUCGGCCACUG
rnacentral:miRNA from 15 species